GAUUUUCCAGAGUUAAUUAGAUAAAUUAUUUUUGAACUUCUUAUGUUUGGAAAUAUAAGCAUAAUAGACCUUAAUCAAAUAGACAGGUUUCUGAAAAGCAUAUAGUGAAGAGAGAUUCU